UCCUGGACAGAAAGGGAGAGCUUGC
rnacentral:piRNA from 1 species